rnacentral:lncRNA from 1 species
CUGCAAGAAGUGGCCAGACCGAACACCAAACAACCUUUGCACUUAUUAAUAAAAGAGAAAGACAGAAGAAAAGAAAGAACCCCACCAGCUCACUCAACAAGAAGAGAGUUAGAGAGAAUAAAACGUUUUUAAUUUCACCUCCCGUUCCCCCAAAACUAACACAGUGGUAUCCCCAGCGGUAACAAUCUUAAGCUCACCCGUUUUUGUACCUUUAGCACAUCACCACGUUCGCACGUCCGCUAUGCUUUCUUUUUUUUUUCUUUUUAUCUUUUUCCUUCUUUGGAAACCCCAAUCAGCGCGGUGCCGUCACCGCGAGUGAGAGUAAGCGAGGCCUGAAGCUACUCGUCCGGAACCUUGUACAAAUCCACGCUGACCUCAGACAGCCAUAAGCCAGGGAAGAGCGACUGCGAAAAUAUCUAAAAAAAUAAACACCGCUUUUCCUUUUUAAUUUGUUUAAUAAAAAGUUGUUAUUAUUAUUGUUAUGAAAAAUAGUAUUUG